UGGUUAUACUCAUUUUUCUAAUCUAUUUAUUCAAUUCUUACUUGAAUCUUUAAUUCUAUCGAUCUCGAUCCAUUAUAAGUAUGCAUCAAUUCCUACCAGAGUCAUUUUGGGUCGAUUUUUCGCCCAAAAAUUAACUCAAUAAGUACAUUAACAACAUUAACUAUACACAAUAUUUUAUAGAAUCAAAAGGCCGAUAGUUUUCACAUUGCAGUAGAAAAUAGUUAUGAAAUCAUAAACAAUGAAGGAAUCAAUAUUCGUGGGUUUGACACAGAUUCAGAUAUAGAGCCCUUGACUAGCCAAGAUGCUAUUAUAUGUGACUUAUCACAGAUUUCAGAUAUAUCUACAUCUAGUAAGUUAAAUAUUUCCAAUGUAUUCAAGAUGACUCCGACAAAAUCUCGCCGAAAGUGUAUAUACUGCAAUACACAUUAUAGUUUAAAUACAGCCUCAACAAAUUUAAAAAGGCACAUUUCUAAAUCACAUUCGCA